rnacentral:rRNA from 1 species
UGAGGAAUAUUGGUCAAUGGGCGAGAGCCUGAACCAGCCAAGUAGCGUGAAGGAUGACUGCCCUAUGGGUUGUAAACUUCUUUUAUAAAGGAAUAAAGUCGGGUAUGCAUACCCGUUUGCAUGUACUUUAUGAAUAAGGAUCGGCUAACUCCGUGCCAGCAGCCGCGGUAAUACGGAGGAUCCGAGCGUUAUCCGGAUUUAUUGGGUUUAAAGGGAGCGUAGAUGGAUGUUUAAGUCAGUUGUGAAAGUUUGCGGCUCAACCGUAAAAUUGCAGUUGAUACUGGUUCCCUUGAGUGCAGUUGAGGCAGGCGGAAUUCGUGGUGUAGCGGUGAAAUGCAUAGAUAUCACGAAGAACCCCGAUUGCGAAGGCAGCCUGCUAAGCUGUAACUGACGUUGAGGCUCGAAAGUGUGGGUAUCAAACAGGAUUAGAUACCCUGGUAGUCCACACGGUAAACGAUGGAUACUCGCUGUUGGCGAUAUACUGUCAGCGGCCAAGCGAAAGCAUUAAGUAUCCCACCUGGGGAGUACGCCGGCAACGGUGAAACUCAAAGGAAUUGACGGGGGCCCGCACAAGCGGAGGAACAUGUGGUUUAAUUCGAUGAUACGCGAGGAACCUUACCCGGGCUUAAAUUGCAGACGAAUUACCUGGAAACAGGUAAGCCGCAAGGCGUCUGUGAAGGUGCUGCAUGGUUGUCGUCAGCUCGUGCCGUGAGGUGUCGGCUUAAGUGCCAUAACGAGCGCAACCCUCGUGGCCAGUUACUAGCAGGUAAUGCUGAGGACUCUGGCCAGACUGCCAUCGUAAGAUGCGAGGAAGGUGGGGAUGACGUCAAAUCAGCACGGCCCUUACGUCCGGGGCUACACACGUGUUACAAUGGGAGGUACAGAAGGCAGCUACCCGGCGACGGGAUGCCAAUCUCCAAAGCCUCUCUCAGUUCGGACUGGAGUCUGCAACCCGACUCCACGAAGCUGGAUUCGCUAGUAAUCGCGCAUCAGCCACGGCGCGGUGAAUACGUUCCC